rnacentral:lncRNA from 1 species
CUGGAACAAUCAUCAAUCAGCAGCUAAGACACCCAUUUGCUGUAUUGGGUCAAAAUCUCCACAAUGCUAAUAACUUGGUGCAACCUCAGGUCAACAAGGUUAAGGAUGUCUCCGAUGAUGGUAAAUCACCUGCAAAGUGGAUUUUUACUAUAGUUACAUCUUUUUUCAGUUUAGCCAAAACUGUAUGUAUAUUCAGUCUUCUAUAAUUGUUCUCAUAAUAUAACAUUUUGCAUUCUUCUUUUCCUUUAUUCAUUUGCAGCUCAGAGUUAUAGAACUCAAGGAACAUUUCUCAAAAAGGAUGAUCCUAAGAUAACUGCUUUGAUGCAGCAAGCGGAGCUACUCAGCUCACUUGCAUUGAAGGUUAACACAGACGGUACAGAAGAGAGUCUGGAAAAUGCUUGGAAGGUGAGAUAUGAUUUUAGUUUCUAUCUUGUUUUUGUUUUAUCAUCAAUUCAACAUCCAAUAAUACUAUCAACAUGUUGCUUCUCUAUAGGUAAAGUGCUAAAACUUAAAUAUUGUGGGGUUGAUAGUUCAAUCUAUGCACUGUAUGUCCUUAACUUUCAUCCUAGUAAAUUUUAUAUUCAGGUCCUUCAAGAGUUUUUGAAUCAGAGUAAAGAAAAUGACACCUUCAGAUAUACAAUCUCUGAUAUUGAUUUUCAAAUUGAAGAUUUCAAAGACUUGCUUGAGGAUUUAAGGAGUAGUAAUGAGGGAAGUCAACAAUCUUGGAGGUAACAGAUAAAUCAGUUAAAGUUCAGAUUUAGUAAGGUUUCAUACUUACCACUAACUGAUGAUUAAUGUGUUGCAGGCAACCUGAUCUCUAUGAGGUGUCUCCUUCCAGUUCUGAAUACAGCACAGGGUCAACAAUUAUGCCUCAUCCAGCUGGGGAACGAGGAGAAAAGACUCGGGAUAAAAUAGAUGAACUGCACCCGGAUAUAUUGUCAAAUCAUAUUGGAGAGCAGAAUUGCAGUACCGAGGAGGAAGCAAGGGCUCUUUCCAGUGCAAACAAAAAUCAUGGUAAUGAAAUUCUAUAUCUGGUAUAAAGGCCAAGGAAUUCCUUGCUUAUAACCACGCGGUGGUUAAUUAAGAUAAAAUGAUGUUUCUGAAAAAAUGUGUCUAUGUUACCACAGGCGAGAUGAUAUCAUCGUCUGAUGACCAAACGAACAUUAUCGUUGCUUCUACCUCAUCAAGCGCAGAGUUCAGUUCCCCAGUCCAAGUUACCCCACUUUUCAGAUCUCUAGCAGCUGGAAUUCCCAGCCCAAAAUUUUCAGAAAGUGUAAGUUAUCUUCAACUGUAUGGUUUACCAAUAUAUCCAUUUAAUAGAAGUAGGAGCAGUAGCAUUAUUAGAAUUUGCAGUAGCAGGUAGUACCAAUUAUUAUCUUUCUCAAGACCAUGAUUCCAUAGGCAGUUUUAGUUGUGAGCUUACGAGUGUCUACUAAUAAAACUGCUUUGGAUUACUAGUUAUGGAUCCAUUUAUACCAGCAAUCACAGCAAGACAUUAAUUUGCUUUUGAGCCACUGUUAAUAGGUCUUUUGAACCAUUUCUAGGACUUAGAGCUUGUUAGUCAAUAAAUACUAGGGUUAACUAGUUGUCAAAGCUUCAGUAGCUUCAUGGUAAGUGAUUAUAACAUCUUUGAAAAUGAUAAUGCAGAAGCUGCUACUAGAUUCUUGUUCGACAGUCAUUGAUCUAGAACUGUUAGCAAGUCUUAGUAUUGCAUGAUUUAGUUGGAAAUUGGACCACUAAGCUAUUUUUCUUGAAAAGGCAUGCAUUUUAGUGCCUCAUUAUUUUCCAUCAGUUAGCUAGACUCUGCUUCUUCCUUACUUGUAUAUAGAGCUUUAUUUCCUGUCAAAUGCAAUCUAAGUUCUCCACGUCUAUGGAUACAGUAAAUUUUAUAAGAAUUUUCAUCAGCAGACUUACUCUAGAACUAAAAUUGCCAAAUUCAACCUAAGAGCAAGUUUAAAGCCAUAUGACUUUAGUUGUUUUUCACUUUUGAUGAACCUAAAAAUGCAAUGAAACCAAGUAAAGAUCCUGGCCAUUUACUUAGGAAGCUUUGUUGACAGUACUCCUUGAUAGUUAAAAGAAGAAGAGUUAAACUGAAUUAUAAUUGUAUGAAUUAUGAUUCAGUUCAAGUAAAGGAGAGUUGUGCAGUUGGAAAUUUACUUAAAAAAAAAAGGUUCUAGGAUAUUAUUCGUACACGUGUGGUAAUACUGGUUUGGUCCUUAGAGCAAGUGAAGUCCAAUACUGAGUGCACUUUCUUUACUUUUAUUGUUGUUUUCCUUUCUAUAAUCUAUCUACCAUAGACGUAAAAGCAUGCAGAAGCAUAUAAGAGUCUGAUCAAGUUUUUGUUUGAUUUUCAGGAAAGGAACUUCCUACUUAAGACACUUGGCAUGGAGUCCCCUUCUCCCAAUCCAGCAAAUAAUCUUUCACAACCACCACCUUGCAAACGAGCCCUCCUCCAUAGUCUAUAACAAACCUAUGAUCAUCUCUUAUACUGAAAAUCAUAUCAGUCUAUAGUCCCCAUAUUUCAUCAUUUAUUCCCUGGAGCCACAUAGCUCAUGUUGAGUUUUUGUCCCCUUUUUUUUUUCAAUUUGUCCAAGGAUUGCAGCCAUCUUGGCCUGGAAUUUUACAAGGCAUUUAAUGAUCUGCACUCCCAGCUCCCUUGCUUAGAAUGUUUUGGUGCAUUCUAGCUUCUCAGAUACAUCCAAUAAGAUGUCCUGAGUUUCAUUAAUUUUUCCCUCUAAUUUCCUAGAGAGUACUACCUUAAUACUCACAUUAAAAUCAGUGUGUGCUUUGUUAGUGUGUCGAUUCUUUUGUUUGUCAUCUCAUCCGAGCGGUUUCGGGUAUCUCUUCUCUCAUCAUUCAGAUCCAGUUUUUGUUCUUGAUUUGUAAUCUUGUACAGAACCUACUAUAUAAGAAAAAUCCUUAGAGUGUAAUUAAUACAUUGGCGAGUUGCCUACAUAUGAUAAAGAACAGAGGAAGAAGUAAAAAAAAAAAAAAAAAGAGAAACAGAAAAAACGAGGAUCAACACCUUGAUGUUUUUGGGUGUGCAGAGGGUAUAGAAUAAGUUUUUAUUUAUUUAUUUAGUGGAUUUCUAUUCUGAUUUCUAAUGUAAUCGAACUCGAUAUGAUUUGAGUGAAAGGUGUUUUGGCUUUGGUGUGACUUAAGCUCUUGGUUCUCUCGUAUUUGAAUUCAUGCAUCAUGAUAUCUAAAUAGAUAGAAUAUUUGCUACACAGGUGAAAACAUGAUGCAGCAGUUAUCAAAUGAAAGUAAACUAGUUAAUUAAAAGAGGAGAAAACGAGAAUGUAAAAUGUUACUUACAGAGAAUACAGAAGAACAUCCAUGUUAUCUCUCUGACCAACCAACCCUUUCUUUCACUUCUAAUCUUUCCAACCAAAACUGUGUAGUCUCAGAGGAGUUUUGAAAACUCUGUUAUUAAGAAAGAUGAUAAAUAGGGUGGAGGGUAGAAGUUAUAGUGGGGGACAACUAUAGUAUAAUCACGACGAAAGCAAAAGAGUAGGGUAAAAAGAAAG